rnacentral:rRNA from 1 species
AAGGCGGAUUUAUUUAAGAGAUUAAUUGAUUGACGAUAAUCACAGAAGAAGCACCGGCUAACUCCGUGCCAGCAGCCGCGGUAAUACGGAGGGUGCGAGCGUUAAUCGGAAUGACUGGGCGUAAAGGGCACGCAGGUGGUGACUUAAGUGAGGUGUGAAAUCCCCGGGCUUAACCUGGGAACAGCAUUUCAGACUGGGUGACUAGAGUACUUUAGGGAGGGGUAGAAUUCCACGUGUAGCGGUGAAAUGCGUAGAGAUGUGGAGGAAUACCGAAGGCGAAGGCAGCCCCUUGGGAAGAUACUGACGCUCGAGUGCGAAAGCGUGGGGAGCAAACAGGAUUAGAUACCCUGGUAGUCCACGCUGUAAACGAUGUCGAUUUGGGGAUUGGGUGAACACUGGNNUGCCCGA